GAUGAACGCUGGCGGCGUGCCUAAUACAUGCAAGUCGAGCGAACGGACGAGAAGCUUGCUUCUCUGAUGUUAGCGGCGGACGGGUGAGUAACACGUGGAUAACCUACCUAUAAGACUGGGAUAACUUCGGGAAACCGGAGCUAAUACCGGAUAAUAUUUUGAACCGCAUGGUUCAAAAGUGAAAGACGGUCUUGCUGUCACUUAUAGAUGGAUCCGCGCUGCAUUAGCUAGUUGGUAAGGUAACGGCUUACCAAGGCAACGAUGCAUAGCCGAGCUGAGAGGGUGAUCGGCCACACUGGAACUGAGACACGGUCCAGACUCCUACGGGAGGCAGCAGUAGGGAAUCUUCCGCAAAGGGCGAAAGCCUGACGGAGCAACGCCGCGUGAGUGAUGAAGGUCUUCGGAUCGUAAAACUCUGUUAUUAGGGAAGAACAUAUGUGUAAGUAACUGUGCACAUCUUGACGGUACCUAAUCAGAAAGCCACGGCUAACUACGUG
rnacentral:rRNA from 1 species